GCGGCGAGCGAAGGGGGAAAAGCCCAGCGCUGAAUCCCCGUGCCCCUGUCGGUGCGAGGGAACUGUAGCGUAAGGAAACUGAAUUCCGUGCUGUGGCGGCCGUCGGCUGUCCUCCUUGAGUGGGGCUCCGUAGUGGGUGUGAGACCCGUACGGCGGUGGCUCGGCCGGAAGGAUGCUUUCCAAGAGUCGGGUUGUUUUGGAAUGCAGCCCAAAGACGGGUGGUGAAUUCCAUCCAAGGCUAAAUAUUAAGCACGAGACCGAUAGACGACAAGUACCGUGAGGGAACGUUGAAAAGAACUUUGAAAAGAGGGUUCAACAUUGCGUGAAACUGCCGAGAAGUAAACGGAUGAGUGCCACUUGCUAAGUGGGGCGUCCGGAGGAUUCAGCUUCGACUUGUGCGGCCGCCCCGUCGGUUUUCGGAUCUUCUCCCUCUUGGGGGAGAGACCGGCCCGGCGGGCGAUCGUCGCAGGGCCGUAGCGCAUUUCCUCCGUCCGGCGUCCUCCCCGACGACCGCUCCAGCCCCGGCUGUUGAGGCGUGACGAGGUUGCAGCUCUGGCUUGGUGCACCAGAGAUCGCUCGUCGCGACCGUGCUCCUCGGGGCGGUGCGAGGGUUCUCGUCACCGGUACCGUCCUCUCGGGGACGGGCUGGUCGGCCCGGUCCGCCGGCGCUCGUUCUCGUACCCGUGCACAGCCUGGCUGUCGCGGGUCGAGUCGGGUCCGGCGGUCAGGUGUCCGCCACCGCGUGAUGGGGGUCUGUCGGGCUUUGGUGCGGCCUCCUCAUUCGACCCGUCUUGAAACACGGACCAAGGAGUCUAGCAAGCUCGCAAGUCGCAGGGGAUUCGAUCCCUUUGGGCGUAACGAAAGUGAAGGUCGGCUCUGGCCGGCUCCUCGAGGCGAGAUCCCGGCCCGCUCCGUUUGGAUGGCUGGGCGCAUCGCCGACCUGUUCCGUCCGGCUCUGUCCGGUGGAGCGGAGUCAGAGCGAGCGUGCUAAAACCCGAAAGAUGGUGAACUAUGCUUGGGCAGGAGGAAGCCAGAGGAAACUCUGGUGGAUGUCCGCAGCGGUUCUGACGUGCAAAUCGAUCGUCCGACCUGAGUAUAGGGGC
rnacentral:rRNA from 1 species